GAUGAACGCUGGCGGCGUGCCUAAUACAUGCAAGUCGAGCGAACAGACGAGAGUGCUUGCACUCUCUGACGUUAGCGGCGGACGGGUGAGUAACACGUGGGUAACCUACCUAUAAGACUGGGAUAACUUCGGGAAACCGGAGCUAAUACCGGAUAAUAUUUAGCUUCGCAUGAAGCAAUAGUGAAAGACGGUUCUGCUGUCACUUAGAGAUGGACCCGCGGUGUAUUAGCUAGUUGGUGAGGUAACGGCUCACCAAGGCAACGAUACAUAGCCGACCUGAGAGGGUGAUCGGCCACACUGGAACUGAGACACGGCCCAGACUCCUACGGGAGGCAGCAGUAGGGAAUCUUCCGCAAUGGACGAAAGUCUGACGGAGCAAUGCCGCGUGAGUGAAGAAGGUUUUCGGAUCGUAAAACUCUGUUGUAAGGGAAGAACAAGUACGUUAGUAACUGAACGUACCUUGACGGUACCUUAACAGAAAGCCACGGCUAACUACGUG
rnacentral:rRNA from 1 species